CCAAUAGCGUAUAUUAAAGUUGUUGCAGUUAAAAAGCUCGUAGUUGAAUUUCGGGGUCAGCAGGUUGGUCGUGCCACUGGUAUUCACUGGCUUCGCUGAUUCCUCCCUCUUGUAGAACCGUAAUGCCAUUAAGUUGGUGUUGCGGGGAAACAGGACUGUUACUUUGAAAAAAUUAGAGUGUUUAAAGCAGGCUAACGCUUGAAUACAUUAGCAUGGAAUAAUGAAAUAGGACGAUCGAUCCUAUUUUGUUGGUUUCUAGGAUUGACGUAAUGAUUAAUAGGGAUAGUUGGGGGCAUUAGUAUUCAAUUGUCAGAGGUGAAAUUCUUGGAUUUAUUGAAGACUGACGACUGCGAAAGCAUUUGCCAAGGAUGUUUUCAUUAAUCAAGAACGAAAGUUAGGGGAUCGAAGACGAUCAGCUACCGUCGUAGUCUUAACCAUAAACUAUGCCGACUAGGGAUCGGAUGAUGUUAAUUUUUUAAUGACUCAUUCGGCGCCUUACG
rnacentral:rRNA from 1 species